rnacentral:lncRNA from 1 species
GUUCGUUUUUCUGAGUAAUAUGGAAAUGGCACGGCUCAGCCACACAAGGGCCUGGGCAAAGGUCACGGCCAGCAAAGAACACAGCCUGGGUCCUCUGAGUCCCGAGUCCACGCGAUCCUGACCCGUCCACCACCCUCCUCGAGACACGACAAGUUAGGCGGGAACAUAACCUGGGAGCCCCAUGUCGGUUUCAGGCUCCACAAGGGAUCUCUGGGUAAAGGGUUUGUCUCUUCCACAUCUGUUCAUUUAGGAGAAGCAAAGAACAUGGAAAGCAGAAUUCCUGGGGGUGGCCUCAACCCCAAGCCCUGCCGAUGCAAACCGGCACCUUGAAGAUGCCUUUGGAAUUUAACUGGAAGAUUUGAAUGACAUGGGCAGACACAGAAGAGGGAGAAGCAUUCCACAGGGGAGGAAAGGCCUCAGUGGGGACCUAUGGAGCUCCCAGGCCCACCGCAGGGAGGCAGGUCCUCGGUCAUCUGCGGAGGGAGAACACUUUCAGUCGAAGGAGCCUGGGACCCUUGACACAGAAGUGACAUGUGCAUUCGGAACCUCUCUGUGGAAAACACAGACCCUUCAUGACACGCAAACUCGAAGCCGGUGAGGCCGAGUCUCAGGGCUGCGCCAACCAGGAAGCCUGGCUGUCCAAUGUUCCAAAUCUGGAUGUGAAAUGGACCAUGCAGACAGGACCCAAGGGGCAUGGGGGAGCUGGCAGAGGCACCCGGGACAAGUGGGGAAGCACCUGUCGGCCAGGAAGGUAGAGAGGCACCUACCCCAGAACACGGUGCCAGCGUCACACUCUUAUUAACAGAUGCAAUAACCACCUUCGGAGACCAGACCCCUCAAAGAGCACUCAGCCCACAAUGUGACGCAGAGAAACCAGAGACCCAGGCAGGGAGUGCACCCACGGGGACACUCCGAGGGUGGCCUCCUGCCUGCCCUGAUUACUUAAAAAGGAGAUUCUUGGAAACCUUUGCGGGCCCACAGGUGCACCCUGACUCCCAGGGAUGGGGGCUGAGCCACCCAGGAAACAAAUAUGAAAUCAAAGAUCCAGACAGCCCUGACCCUCCUGAUUCCAGGGUCCAUAAAUAAGUCAUUCUUAAAAUAGUGGUUGUUUUCUCUCUAUUUAAGAAGUGCUUCUUUUUUGAGUCCUUGUUCCCAACUUCCCUGGCAACUCAGUUUCCUGUUUCCUCCGGGAGGAAGGCAGAACUGCAGGAGAGCUCAGGACCCUGCUGCCUCCACCACUCUCUCCUGGAAAACUGUCCAGCAUCACAGCUGCGGCUCCAGCCUCCUCCGGGCCCAGGUGUGGAGGGCAAGUGCUGCCUCCACCACCCUUGCUAUGCGUCUCCACUUCACACAUGGGCAUCCGUGACCACACGUGUGCACCCGUGAAAAGCGUGCAUUUCCAGUGGUGUCUGCAUCAUUUGCAUAUCACUGACAGAAAGAUACCCUUUCACAAUUCUAUUCUCCCUCCUGACCCAUAUUUUCUGAAAUGCACCUGGGUGAAAACAUAAAUCUGGAAGCUUCUUUGCUCCUUUUACAGCUGCCUAGUAUUCUUUUUUUUCUUUUAAGAGAUGGGGUCUCAUUUUGUUGCCCAGGCUGGAGUAUAGGGGUGCGAUCACAGCUCACCGCAGCCUCCAACUCCUGGGUUUAAGGUGUCCUCUCACCUGAGCCUCCCAAGUAGCUGGGACUACAGGCACGUGCCACCACGCCUGCUUAUUUUUAUUUUUUAUUUUUUAAUUGAUGGGUCUCGCUAUGUUGCCCAGGCUGGUCUCCAACUCCUGACCUCAAGCAAUCCUCCUACCUUGGCCUCCCAAAGUGCUGGGAUUACAGGCAUGAGCCGCUGCACCCGCCCUGCCUGGCAUUCUCUAUAUGAAAACCCUCGCUCCUUCACCUGUUCCUGCCCAGAUGGACGUUUCCAGUGCUUCUGGUUCCUGCCAUCACACGCUGGGCCACGAUGGACAUGACAGAACUCCCCAUGAACAGGGGGCAGGUCAAUGUGGCUGCACCCCAGUGACUCGAGGCUCACGUUCCACUCACGUGCUUCUACCACAGCCUAAGCAAAGGCAGGGGUGGGCUGAAACCCUUCCUGGGAGGUUUCAGUCUCCAGAGGGGGCUGUUCAGUCCUUGGUAUCAAUGAAAGCCGACUUUCCACACACCCAGGUGCCUGGGCGUGGCCCCGCUCAGAGCAGCCCCUCCUGGAGUGCCUCUUAAAUGAGCCUCACUGGGUUGCUCCGUUGGCCACACAGGUGUCCCUCAUCUCCCCAGGGACGGAGGAACACAGUCCCCAACUCUCUGUGAUCAGCAGAGCCCAGAGAGCCCAGCCUCGUGUACCAAAAAGGUCUGGGAGCCCCAUUUUUCUUCAGAGGAAAUGUUAAUGCCCGAAUGUCACCAGCUCAUCGCCGACAAAGGCCUGAACACAAACGUCUCCAGGCAACAGCCCCGAGCAGUCACUCUGGAAGGUUACGUGAAGCUGCUGGCUCAGAUUUUAAAUCGUCUCACAUGUGGGUUGCCCCACCUACCCCAUCAACAAACACAGCUUCGCACUUCUGCAUCAGAGGCUGUGCUGGGUUCUGGGGACACGGAAGGCCCCCAGCUCUCAGGCCUGGUAAGAGAAAGAAAAACACGAAGACAUUCCAGCCGGCCCUUCCUGCGGGGGCCGAGGGCAGAGCCCCUGGUCUGUCUCUUGCUCCAUCCUCACCCGCCCCUAUGAGGUCAGCACUGCUGUUCCGUCCAGUUUCCAGAUAAGGAAACAAGACACAAAGUAACUUCACCCAAGGUCAAGAAGCCAGGAAGAGGUGAAGUCAGGCUGAAGCCCCUAUCAUGAACGCUCCUCCACGGUCUGGCUUCCCUAUAGGGGCAGAGCCCUCCUCCGAGCAGAGCAUGUGCCUCCCUCUCGUCCACCCCUCCCUCUCUCUGUCUCUCUCUCCAUCUGUGCCCUGGACUGGUCUCUAAGCUGGGGAUUGAGGGCCUGAGCGUCUGGGACGGCCACCCCCAGCUCUCUCUGGGCAGGCGUCCAGUAAGGAGCCCCUGCUAUUUGGGUCAGGGCUGGCCAGUGGUGCUGGGUCAGGACAGUUUCCAGGAAACGGCCUGUCCCGGGUUCCAGUCCUACCUGGCCUGUGGCUCAGAGAUCACAAACCUUUUGAAAGCCCCCGCCCACACCACUCCCGAUCCUGAUGCCUCCCCCUCCUGCAACACCUCAGUUCCUGUGCUUCUCACUCCACGGAUGGCUUCCGCCUCCCACAGCUGACUGAGCUCUCAGAUGGAGACCACAUGUUCCUUGCAGGCUCUAGUGCCCAGCCCGGGUCUGACGCAGAAGCUCCUCAGCACAAUAUGGAUGGUUGGAUGGGUGGGUGGAUGAACGGAUGAGUGAAUGGACACAUGGAUGUACAGGUGGGUGAGUAGACGAAUGAAUGGAUGGAUGGAUGGAUGGAUGGAUGGACAGGCGGGUGGAUUGAACAGGUGGGUGAGCGGAUGGAUGGAUGGACAAAUGGGUGAGUAGAUGAAUCGAUGGAUGGAUGGACAGGUGGGUGGAUGAACAGGUGGGUGAGUAGAUCAACGGAUGGAUGGAUGGAUGGACAGGUGGGUGGAUGAACAGGUGGGUGAGUAGAUCAACGGAUGGAUGGAUGGAUGGAUGGACAGAUGGAUGGACGGACAGGUGGGUGGAUGAAUAGGUGGGUGAGUAGAAUAACGGAUGGAUGGAUGGAUGGAUGGAUGGACGGACAGGUGGGUGGAUGAACAGGUGUGUGAGUAGAUUUGAGUAGAUUAAUGGAUGGAUGGAUGGAUGUAAGGAUGGAUGAUGGAUGGAUGGACAGGUGGGUGGAUGUACAGGUGGGUGAGUAGAUCAACGGAUGGAUGGAUGGAUAGAUGGACAGGUGGGUGGAUGAACAGGUGGGUGAGUAGAUCAACGGAUGGAUGGAUGGAUAGAUGGAUGGACGGACAGGUGGGUGGAUGAACAGGUGUGUGAGUAGAUUUGAGUAGAUUAAUGGAUGGAUGGAUGGACAGGUGGGUGGAUGUACAAGUGGGUGGGUGGAUGGAUAGAUGGAUGGAUGGACAGGUGGGUGGAUGAACAGGUGUGUGAGUAGAUUUGAGUAGAUUAGUGGAUGGAUGGAUGGAUGGAUGUAAGGAUGGAUGAUAGAUGGAUGGAUGGACAGCUGGGUGGAUGAACAAGUGGGUGGGUGGAUGGAUAGAUGGAUGGAUGGACAGGUGGAUGGACCGACAGAUGAUGGAUGGGUGGCUAUUAGAGGAGAGGAAGGAAGGGAAAAGUGAAUGAAAAAACGGAUGCCUGGAAGGAUGAAUGGAAGGAUGGCACUGCCUCUUUAAGGGCAUUGCAACAAAUAUCAAAAGCUGCUGGAGUGGCCACCCUUGGGACCCUCAGUUCCACAUUUAGGAACUUGAAGAAACAACGGGAUGACUAUGAAAAGAUGUAAAAAUAUUGUAAUAAUAUUCACCGAAGCACUGCCAGCAACAGAGGCUUUAUUAAAUAAACGACACUGAAAAGAUGUGUGUGUGUAAUAAUAUUCACCGAAGCACUGUCAGCAACAGAGGCUUUAUUAAAUAAACGACAAUGAAAAGAUGUGUGUGUGUAAUAAUAUUCACCGAAGCACUGUCAGCAAUACAGGCUUUAUUAAAUAAAUCACAGUCCUUCUCAACAACCUAACACCGUGUGGUCAUUAAAAAUGGUGGUGUAGAUACAUGUAACAAGGAAUAAAGGUGUUCACAGUGUUGCCAGUGAAAAUAGGGUGUCGAUGAAACUGUACAAUUUAAAAACACAACCAUAAAGUAAAUAACCUAGAGGCUAUGCACCGUAAGGCUAAUAGCAACUGUGGGGUGGAGAGGGGGUGGGGUUGGGGUCAUUUUCAUGUGUUUUUUUCUUUUUCUUUUGUUUUUUUUUUUUUGAUUACUUGUACUGACGUGUAUUUUCUAAUUUUCUAUAAUUACAUUGUAAAUCUGUGUAAUUUUAAAAAUGAGGCCGUUCAUCAUUGGAGAAAACACGACACGUACGCUUAAGGGCAGACUUAAGGCUCUUAACAUUUUUAAAGCAACCAAAAGAGGCAAAAUGUAGACUUUAAAACACAAAAAUGUGCUUUUCUGAGUGUGGCACAGACUCCAAGCCCACAACGUCUGAGGAAGCGUACGGGAUCAGAACCAGCAGCUCCGUUCACAGCCAAACUCGCCUUCAAAAGGCAAGGAGAUGGCGCGCCAAGCUCAGCCCCUGAAAUCACACACGCGGGGUUGAACGUGAGUAACUCAGCCCAUCGUUCCGCACUGUGAAUCUGCUCCAAUACCUGCAGAGACAGGUCCAGCUCCCACUACGAGGGCCCACCGACCAACACGGUACACCGAGGGUGAAAAAGCCACGACCAGGCCCACCUGGAAAACACCAUCAGCUCCUAGAAAUGCCACUUCCUUCCUCCUCCCGCCGCUCCGGGCCUCCCGAGCCAAGACAAGCGCAGGUUGGGACUUGCACGGGAAAGCUCACCUGAGA